UGGGGAAUUUUGGACAAUGGGCGAAAGCCUGAUCCAGCAAUGCCGCGUGUGUGAAGAAGGCCUUCGGGUUGUAAAGCACUUUUGUCCGGAAAGAAAUCCUUGGCUCUAAUACAGUCGGGGGAUGACGGUACCGGAAGAAUAAGCACCGGCUAACUACGUGCCAGCAGCCGCGGUAAUACGUAGGGUGCAAGCGUUAAUCGGAAUUACUGGGCGUAAAGCGUGCGCAGGCGGUUUGCUAAGACCGAUGUGAAAUCCCCGGGCUCAACCUGGGAACUGCAUUGGUGACUGGCAGGCUAGAGUAUGGCAGAGGGGGGUAGAAUUCCACGUGUAGCAGUGAAAUGCGUAGAGAUGUGGAGGAAUACCGAUGGCGAAGGCAGCCCCCUGGGCCAAUACUGACGCUCAUGCACGAAAGCGUGGGGGAGCAAAACAGGAUUAGUACCCUGGUAGUCCACGCCCUAAACGAUGUCAACUAGUUGUUGGGGAUUCAUUUCCUUAGUAACGUAGCUAACGCGUGAAGUUGACCGCCU
rnacentral:rRNA from 1 species